UACGUAGGGACCAAGCGUUGUUCGGAUUUACUGGGCGUAAAGGGCGCGUAGGCGGCGUGGUAAGUCACUUGUGAAAUCUCUGAGCUUAACUCAGAACGGUCAAGUGAUACUGCUGUGCUAGAGUGCGGAAGGGGCAAUCGGAAUUCUUGGUGUAGCGGUGAAAUGCGUAGAUAAUCAAGAGGAACACCUGAGGUGAAGACGGGUUGCUGGGCCGACACUGACGCUGAUGCGCGAAAGCCAGGGGAGCAAACGGG
rnacentral:rRNA from 1 species